rnacentral:rRNA from 1 species
UGCAGUCGAGCGGAACGAGUUGUCUGAACCUUCGGGGAACGAUAACGGCGUCGAGCGGCGGACGGGUGAGUAAUGCCUGGGAAAUUGCCCUGAUGUGGGGGAUAACCAUUGGAAACGAUGGCUAAUACCGCAUAAUAGCUUCGGCUCAAAGAGGGGGACCUUCGGGCCUCUCGCGUCAGGAUAUGCCCAGGUGGGAUUAGCUAGUUGGUGAGGUAAGGGCUCACCAAGGCGACGAUCCCUAGCUGGUCUGAGAGGAUGAUCAGCCACACUGGAACUGAGACACGGUCCAGACUCCUACGGGAGGCAGCAGUGGGGAAUAUUGCACAAUGGGCGCAAGCCUGAUGCAGCCAUGCCGCGUGUAUGAAGAAGGCCUUCGGGUUGUAAAGUACUUUCAGCAGUGAGGAAGGUGGUGUACUUAAUACGUGCAUCAUUUGACGUUAGCUGCAGAAGAAGCACCGGCUAACUCCGUGCCAGCAGCCGCGGUAAUACGGAGGGUGCGAGCGUUAAUCGGAAUUACUGGGCGUAAAGCGCAUGCAGGUGGUUUGUUAAGUCAGAUGUGAAAGCCCGGGGCUCAACCUCGGAAUUGCAUUUGAAACUGGCAGACUAGAGUACUGUAGAGGGGGGUAGAAUUUCAGGUGUAGCGGUGAAAUGCGUAGAGAUCUGAAAGGAAUACCGGUGGCGAAAGGGGCCCCCUGGACAGAUACUGACACUCAGAUGCGAAAGCGUGGGGAGCAAACAGGAUUAGA